ACGAACGCUGGCGGCGUGCUUAACCCCUGCAAGUCGAACGGAAAGGCCCUGCUUUUGUGGGGUGCUCGCGUGGCGAACGGGUGAGUAACACGUGAGUAACCUGCCCUUGACUUUGGGAUAACUUCAGGAAACUGGGGCUAAUACCGGAUAGGAGCUCCUGCUGCAUGGUGGGGGUUGGAAAGUUUCGGCGGUUGGGGAUGGACUCGCGGCUUAUCAGCUUGUUGGUGGGGUAGUGGCUUACCAAGGCUUUGACGGGUAGCCGGCCUGAGAGGGUGACCGGCCACAUUGGGACUGAGAUACGGCCCAGACUCCUACGGGAGGCAGCAGUGGGGAAUAUUGCACAAUGGGCGGAAGCCUGAUGCAGCAACGCCGCGUGCGGGAUGACGGCCUUCGGGUUGUAAACCGCUUUCGCCUGUGACGAAGCGUGAGUGACGGUAAUGGGUAAAGAAGCACCGGCUAACUACGUG
rnacentral:rRNA from 1 species